UGGGUUAAGGAUCUGGCGUUGCCGUGAGCUGCAGUGUAGAUCACAGACGCGGCUCGGAUCUGGCGUUGCUGUGGUGGUGUAGGCCGGUGGCUACAGCUCCGAUUAGACCCCUAGCCUGGGAACCUCCAUGUGCCACGAGUGCGGCCCUAAAAAGGACAAAAAGACAAAAAUAAAUAAAUAAAAUUAAUAAAAACUCAAAUUUAUUGAAAAACAACCUAUACAUUCAUGAAUUUCAAUGAAUUCCAAAUAGAAUAAAUCCCAGACACAUCAGAAUAACAUGCUAGAAGUCAAAAACAAGAAAAAAUCUGGAAAAUGAGACCAAAACAACACAUUACUUGCAAGGGAACCCCAGUAAAAGUAACUGCUGAAUUCCCACCAGUCGUAAGAGAGGCCAGAAAGCAGCAGGAUGACAGAUUCAGAGCGCUCACGGAAAACUGUCCAGUGUCCUGCGUGGCUCAGCAGGUUAAAGACCCAGCGUUGACACUGUGAGGACUCGGUUGAAUCCUUGGCCUUGCUCAGUGGUUAAGGAUCUAGCACUGAUGCACGGGGGCUUAGGUCACGGGUGCGGCUCAGAUCCCCUGUUGCUGAGGCUGUGGCAAGGCGGCUGUAGGCUGGCAGCUGCAGCCCCAAUUUGACCCCUAGCCCGGGAACUUCCAUAUGCUGCAGGUGCAGCCCUAAAAGGAAAAAGAAGAAAAAACUACCCGUAACGACCCAUAAAGUUCAGGACCAGAUAGUUUCACCAUUUCUACCAAAUAGUUAAGGAGGAAUUAACGUCGGGAGUUCCCCAUGGUCUAGCUGUUAGGCUGUGGCCUUUUCACCACUGUGGCCCCGGUUCAAUCCCUGGUCUGGGAAAUGAGCUCCCGCAGCAGGCUGCUGCACGCUAUGGUGGGGGAAAGAAAGAAUUAAAGCCAGUUUUUCAAAAACUCCCUAAAAACCAAGGAGGAGGGAAUACGUCCCAACUCCUUGCCUAUGUCCACGAUCCGUGUGUUACCAAACCAGACAAAGGUAUCAUCAGAGAAAACAUACUCCAAUAUUGCUUGUAAGUAUCGAUGCAAAAAUCCUCCACACACGUUAGCAAACCAAAUGCAGCAACACAUAAAAAGAAUUCCACACUGUGACUAAGGGGGGGGUUCAUCCCAGGAAUUCUAGAUUGGUUUAACAUCAGAAAAACAAUGAGUAUAACACAUCAUAUCAACAGAAUAAAAAACAAAAAGCACACAAUCAUCUCAGACAAUGCCGAAAAAUCAUUUGACGAGGAGUUCCGUUGUGGCGCAGUGGUUAACGAAUCCGACUAGGAACCAUGAGGUUGCAGGUUUGGUCCCUGCCCUUGCUCAGUGGGUUAACGAUCUGGCGUUGCCAUGAGCUGUGGUGUAGGUCGCAGACACUGCUCAGAUCCCGCGUUGCUGUGGCUCUGGCGUAGGCUGGCAGCUACAGCUCCGAUUAGACCCCUAGCCUGGGAACCUCCAUAUGCCGUGGGAGUGGCCCAAAGAAAUAGCAAAAAGACAAAAAAAAAAAAUCAUUUGAUGAAAUCCAACACGUUUAUAUGAUAAAAACACUCAGCAAACAAGGGGAGAAGGGAACUUCCUUAGUCUGAUAACGGCAUCUAUGAAAACCCCAGAGCUCACAUCACGCUUAGUGCCGAGUGGCUGGAUGCUUCCAGGAACAAGGCAAGGGUAUGCUCUUGCUGCUUCUGGCCAACAUGGCACUGAGGUCCUGGCCAGGGUAAUGAGGCGAAAAAGAAAAGAAAAAGAAAAAGGAUCUAGAUUGGAAAGGAAGAAACAUUUGAUUUCUAUUCACAGAUGACAUGACCUGGUAUGUGAAAAGUCCUAAGGAGCGCUUUGAAAAAUGAUUAGAACUAAUAAACGAACUCAGGAGUUUGCAGGAUGAAAUACCAAGACACAGGGAGUUCCAUCGAGGCUCAGGGGUUAAUGCAUCUGACUAGGAACCAUGAGGUUGUGGGUUCCAUCCCUGGCCUCGCUCAGUGGGUUAAGGAUCCAGCGUUGCCGUGAGCUAUGGUGUAGGUCGCAGACGUGGCUCGGAUCUGGUGUUGCUGUGGCUGUGCUGCAAGCCGGCAGCUAUAGCUCUAAUUAGACCCCUAGCCUGGGAACCUCCAUAUGUCGUGGGUGC
rnacentral:lncRNA from 1 species